rnacentral:rRNA from 1 species
UUGGAGGGCAAGUCUGGUGCCAGCAGCCGCGGUAAUUCCAGCUCCAAUAGCGUAUAUUAAAGUUGUUGCAGUUAAAAAGCUCGUAGUUGAAUUUCGGGAUCAGCAGGUUGGUCGUGCCUCUGGUAUGCACUGGUUUCGCUGAUUCCUCCUUUCUGAAGAACCGUAAUGCCAUUAAUUUGGUGUUGCAGGGAAACAGGACUGUUACUUUGAAAAAAUUAGAGCGUUUAAAGCAGGCUAACGCUUGAAUACAUUAGCAUGGAAUAAUGAAAUAGGACGUUUGAUCCUAUUUUGUUGGUUUCUAGGAUUGACGUAAUGAUUAAUAGGGAUAGUUGGGGGCAUUAGUAUUCAAUUGUCAGAGGUGAAAUUCUUGGAUUUAUUGAAGACUAACUACUGCGAAAGCAUUUGCCAAGGAUGUUUUCAUUAAUCAAGAACGAAAGUUAGGGGAUCGAAGACGAUCAGAUACCGUCGUAGUCUUAACCAUAAACUAUGCCGACUAGGGAUCGGAUGAUGUUAAUUUUUUAAUGACUCAUUCGGCGCCUUACGGGAAAC